CCUACGGGAGGCAGCAGUGAGGAAUAUUGGUCAAUGGACGAGAGUCUGAACCAGCCAAGUAGCGUGAAGGAUGACUGCCCUAUGGGUUGUAAACUUCUUUUAUAUGGGAAUAAAACGUUCCACGUGUGGGAUUUUGUAUGUACCAUAUGAAUAAGGAUCGGCUAACUCCGUGCCAGCAGCCGCGGUAAUACGGAGGAUCCGAGCGUUAUCCGGAUUUAUUGGGUGUAAAGGGAGCGUAGGUGGAUUGUUAAGUCAGUUGUGAAAGUUUGCGGCUCAACCGUAAAAUUGCAGUUGAAACUGGCAGUCUUGAGUACAGUAGAGGUGGGCGGAAUUCGUGGUGUAGCGGUGAAAUGCUUAGAUAUCACGAAGAACUCUGAUUGCGAAGGCAGUUCACUGGACUGCAACUGACACUGAGGCUCGAAAGUGUGGGUAUCAAACAGGAUUAGAUACCCUUGUAGUC
rnacentral:rRNA from 1 species